UGGGGAAUUUUGGACAAUGGGGGCAACCCUGAUCCAGCCAUGCCGCGUGAGUGAAGAAGGCCUUCGGGUUGUAAAGCUCUUUCGGCCGGGAAGAAAUCGCAUCAGCUAAUACCUGGUGUGGAUGACGGUACCGGAAUAAGAAGCACCGGCUAACUACGUGCCAGCAGCCGCGGUAAUACGUAGGGUGCGAGCGUUAAUCGGAAUUACUGGGCGUAAAGCGUGCGCAGGCGGUUGUGUAAGACAGGCGUGAAAUCCCCGGGCUCAACCUGGGAACUGCGCUUGUGACCGCACAGCUAGAGUACGGCAGAGGGGGGUGGAAUUCCACGUGUAGCAGUGAAAUGCGUAGAGAUGUGGAGGAACACCGAUGGCGAAGGCAGCCCCCUGGGCCGAUACUGACGCUCAUGCACGAAAGCGUGGGUAGCAAACAGGAUUAGAUACCCUGGUAGUCCACGCCCUAAACGAUGUCAACUAGGUGUUGGGUGGGUAAAACCAUUUAGUACCGUAGCUAACGCGUGAAGUUGACCGCCUGGGGAGUACGGCCGCAAGGUUA
rnacentral:rRNA from 1 species